AUCCUUCAGGUUCUGUAACGUGAUGAAUGGGGAGUUCACGCGCGCAUGCGUGAAAUGUGCCGUCCCAAUUGUUACGACGGGGCACAGUACCCUUCUGAAC